CCUAGUUACCAGCACGUUAUGUGGGCACUCUAAGGAGACUGCCGGUGACAAACCGGAGGAAGUGGGGAUGACGUCAAGUCAUCAUGGCCCUUACGGCCUGGGCUACACACGUGCUACAAUGGUCGGUACAAAGGGUUGCCAAGCCGCGAGGUGGAGCUAAUCCCAUAAAACCGAUCGUAGUCCGGAUCGCAGUCUGCAACUCGACUGCGUGAAGUCGGAAUCGCUAGUAAUCGUGAAUCAGAAUGUCACGGUGAAUACGUUCCCGGGCCUU
rnacentral:rRNA from 1 species